rfam:Ovis aries breed Texel chromosome 15, whole genome shotgun sequence.
UCCCUGGUGGUCCAGUGGUUAGGACUCUGCGCUUCCACUGCAGGGGUCACAGGUUCAGUCCCUGGUCAGGGAA